GGGGUUGUAGCUCAGUGUUAGAGCACUUGCCUAAUAUGUACCAGGCCCUGGGUUCAAUCCCCACAACCACA
rnacentral:tRNA from 1 species